rnacentral:misc_RNA from 1 species
UCAAACUUGGUCAUUUAGAGGAAGUAAAAGUCGUAACAAGGUCUCCGUUGGUGAACCAGCGGAGGGAUCAUUAGCGAGUUAUCUAACUCCCAACCCUUUGUGAACAUACCACUGUUGCCUCGGCGGGAUCUACCCAGUAUCUAUCGAGUAGCCCGCCGGUGGAUUCUAAAUUCUUAUUUAAUAGAAAUCUGAAUGUCUUAUUUUAAUAAGUAAAAACUUUCAACAACGGAUCUCUUGGUUCUGGCAUCGAUGAAGAACGCAGC